UACAGAGGGUGCUAGCGUUGUUCGGAAUCAUUGGGCGUAAAGGGCGUGUAGGCGGUUUGUUAAGUCAUGUGUGAAAUCCCUCGGCUCAACCGGGGAACGACGCAUGAAACUGGCAAGCUAGAGUACCAAAGAGGGGGGGGGUGGAAUUCCCGGUGUAGCAGUGAAAUGCGUAGAUAUGUGGAGGAAUACCGAUGGCGAAGGCAGCCCCCUGGGAUAACACUGACGCUCAUGCACGAAAGCGUGGGAGCAAACAGG
rnacentral:rRNA from 1 species